CGGAGUUACUGGGCGUAAAGCGCGCGCAGGCGGCUCGUCAAGCCUGACGUGAAAGCCCCCGGCUCAACCGGGGAGGGUCGUCGGGGACUGGCGAUCUUGAGGUCGGCAGGGGUUGGUGGAAUUCCCGGUGUAGUGGUGAAAUGCGUAGAGAUCGGGAGGAACACCCGUGGCGAAGGCGGCCAACUGGGCCGGACCUGACGCUGAGGCGCGAAGGCGUGGGGAGCGAACGGG
rnacentral:rRNA from 1 species